rnacentral:lncRNA from 1 species
AAAAUACAAUUUAUUAAAGGAAUAUUGUUUAUGUAAUAUGGGACAUCUUAAGUAAAUCAGUACUAUAGCGAUCCUAAAUUAUUAUUAAUUUCUACAUGUAUAAAAGGUUUGGUGAUAGAUGCAUGCGUUAUCAGUUUCAUUGGGUAUGGCUAUAGGUGACAUCCUUCUGUAUAAAGACACUGCACAGCAUCACAGGGAGUACACACAUAUUAAAUUCAUUCACACAGUCCAUUUCUCUUAAACUGCCACUGAAAUUUAAAUCAUUGCUCAACUCUAAACAUUCCACAAAAACAUGAGUUUCUCAGGAAACAAAAAAUGAUUAUUGGUUUUUCUAGAUCUUUCCACUUGCUAAUGUGUUUUGAUAUAUUUCCCACCCAAAUUAAGUCCUUUGCUAAAGGAACCACCUACUUUAGAUAGUCUAAAAAUAAACUACUAGACUCUAGAGUAUUUUUCAAGUGUUUUAAAAGAUUUGUCUUUUAUGGUAAAAAAUAUAUAUAUAUAUAAAUAGGAACAUCAUGUAAGCAUAGACAGGCACUGCAUCACACAUUCCUCUCAGUGGGAUAAUUAUUCUAGAGUGUAUCUAAUCCUGGCAUUAAAUGUGUAUGAAAUAAUUUGUCUUUAAAUACCUACAGAUUUAGAAAGGAAAGAUAGAAUGCCAGUUUUCUCUAAGGAUGAAUUUGUGCAACACUGCUUUCUACUCUGGAACACAUGAGCUUGGCCCUAGCUGAUUGAUGUCAUAAUAAUAUUGGAUAGCAUUUUCAAAAUGGAAGAAAAAAACCUGGCUUGUUCCAUUAGAUCAAAUAACCUGCUGUCACUUAAACAUGGUGACAUUUUUAUAAAAGCUGUACCCCAAAAUCCAUUUAACAUCCUGCUGUUUUUCUUUCAUCAAAAAAUACUCAUCUUGAAAACUGGUGACUGUAUGAAUGGGCUGCUGCGCUGGACCAUGGAACAGUGGUGAGCAGAAAUCACAAAGUAUUAAUUAUCCACCUGUUGAUAAAAAUACUUUGUACACAAUGUUUAGAGUUGUCCUCAGGUAAGUUUCUGUUAAUUUUUUUGGCCACCAGAAUUACUUCCACCUUGAUUUCCUAUCUCACUUCGUAACCAUCUUAGAGGUGUUUUUAAUCCAAAGUCUAGCUUUUUUUUUCCCCUCUGAAGAUCAGCCUAAGGAGGCCCCCAACUACAUGACAUGAUGUCAAAGGCAUUGGGAAGAACCCACCUUCCUCUUUCCUCAGGCUUCAUCUGUUCUAAAGAUUUGUAAAUUGUAUAUAUAUCUGCCAUAGGUAACAUUUCAUUGAGAGUAUAAACUUCCUUGAAAUCCAUCCUAAGGAACAUGUUUUUCAGAGUAAAAGAAAAACGGGGCACUGGAGAUUAAAGAAGACUAGGG